rnacentral:rRNA from 1 species
AACGAACGCUGGCGGCAGGCUUAACACAUGCAAGUCGAGCGAGACCUUCGGGUCUAGCGGCGGACGGGUGAGUAACGCGUGGGAACGUGCCCUUCUCUACGGAAUAGCCCCGGGAAACUGGGAGUAAUACCGUAUACGCCCUUUGGGGGAAAGAUUUAUCGGAGAAGGAUCGGCCCGCGUUGGAUUAGGUAGUUGGUGGGGUAAUGGCCCACCAAGCCGACGAUCCAUAGCUGGUUUGAGAGGAUGAUCAGCCACACUGGGACUGAGACACGGCCCAGACUCCUACGGGAGGCAGCAGUGGGGAAUCUUAGACAAUGGGGGCAACCCUGAUCUAGCCAUGCCGCGUGAGUGAUGAAGGCCUUAGGGUUGUAAAGCUCUUUCAGCUGGGAAGAUAAUGACGUACCAGCAGAAGAGCCCCGU